UCUGCUCAGGAUGAACGCUGGCGGCGUGCCUAAUACAUGCAAGUCGAGCGAACAGAUAAGGAGCUUGCUCCUUUGACGUUAGCGGCGGACGGGUGAGUAACACGUGGGUAACCUACCUAUAAGACUGGAAUAACUCCGGGAAACCGGGGCUAAUGCCGGAUAACAUUUAGAACCGCAUGGUUCUAAAGUGAAAGAUGGUUUUGCUAUCACUUAUAGAUGGACCCGCGCCGUAUUAGCUAGUUGGUAAGGUAACGGCUUACCAAGGCAACGAUACGUAGCCGACCUGAGAGGGUGAUCGGCCACACUGGAACUGAGACACGGUCCAGACUCCUACGGGAGGCAGCAGUAGGGAAUCUUCCGCAAUGGGCGAAAGCCUGACGGAGCAACGCCGCGUGAGUGAUGAAGGUCUUCGGAUCGUAAAACUCUGUUAUUAGGGAAGAACAAAUGUGUAAGUAACUAUGCACGUCUUGACGGUACCUAAUCAGAAAGCCACGGCUAACUACGUGCCAGCAGCCGCGGUAAUACGUAGGUGGCAAGCGUUAUCCGGAAUUAUUGGGCGUAAAGCGCGCGUAGGCGGUUUCUUAAGUCUGAUGUGAAAGCCCACGGCUCAACCGUGGAGGGUCAUUGGAAACUGGGAAACUUGAGUGCAGAAGAGGAAAGUGGAAUUCCAUGUGUAGCGGUGAAAUGCGCAGAGAUAUGGAGGAACACCAGUGGCGAAGGCGACUUUCUGGUCUGUAACUGACGCUGAUGUGCGAAAGCGUGGGGAUCAAACAGGAUUAGAUACCCUGGUAGUCCACGCCGUAAACGAUGAGUGCUAAGUGUUAGGGGGUUUCCGCCCCUUAGUGCUGCAGCUAACGCAUAAGCA
rnacentral:rRNA from 1 species